GUUCUAGGAAGGCACCAGCUUAGGGACAGCAUCUGUCUGUCUGGGAAGUCUACCGUGCGGAGAUGUGGUGGGUUAGCCACCUCGGGAUACCCAUGGAGUGAAGUGUUCGAGUGCCCAGCGGACAGAUGAGUUAGCCAAUUAGGGACAGACGAAGGGACAGCUUUGCACUUUGCAAUAACACCUAGCUAGCGGGUCACGGGGUUUCUGUGCUUUUGGGCUAACACGUCUUCUGAUACUAACAAAUAAAGAUUAUCUUUUAGAAUCUAACAUUUCAUAGGGGGGACUGAUGUAGAAUUAUUAAAAUCUUUAUUAGAACCUGUAUUGAAUUAUUGUACUAACUCCAUUUUGUUCACCUUACAUGACAGAAUUUCC